AGUGCCCCAAAUACAGGCUUGAGCCGUCUGAUGAGAUUAAACCUCCUGAUGCUAUUAAUUUACUGUUUGGAUCGCUCAAGGGAUCAGUUAUAACUUAUUUGCAGACAAUUGAUGGUUGAAGUUGUCGUGGGAAGUAAAAGACAUAAGGCUAGAGUCCUGUGUGAUUUGGGCUCACGGAAGAGUUACAUAACCAAAACUUUGGCGAAGGAAUUAGAGUUAUCCCCGACAGGUAAGAUCUCCUUGCGUCAAGAACUCUUUGGAGGAAAAAGGAUUCCUGUUUCAUCUCAUAAUGAGUAUCGAAACCAUCUGAAAGGG
rnacentral:lncRNA from 1 species